rnacentral:rRNA from 4 species
CGCGACCCCAGGUCAGGCGGGACUACCCGCUGAGUUUAAGCAUAUC